rnacentral:rRNA from 1 species
UAUUACAAUGAAGAGUUUGAUCCUGGCUCAGGAUGAACGCUAGCUACAGGCUUAACACAUGCAAGUCGAGGGGCAGCAUGGUCUUAGCUUGCUAAGGCCGAUGGCGACCGGCGCACGGGUGAGUAACACGUAUCCAACCUGCCGUCUACUCUUGGACAGCCUUCUGAAAGGAAGAUUAAUACAAGAUGNACCUAGUCUUCGAUGGAUAGGGGUUCUGAGAGGAAGGUCCCCCACAUUGGAACUGAGACACGGUCCAAACUCCUACGGGAGGCAGCAGUGAGGAAUAUUGGUCAAUGGGCGAGAGCCUGAACCAGCCAAGUAGCGUGAAGGAUGACUGCCCUAUGGGUUGUAAACUUCUUUUAUAAAGGAAUAAAGUCGGGUAUGCAUACCCGUUUGCAUGUACUUUAUGAAUAAGGAUCGGCUAACUCCGUGCCAGCAGCCGCGGUAAUACGGAGGAUCCGAGCGUUAUCCGGAUUUAUUGGGUUUAAAGGGAGCGUAGAUGGAUGUUUAAGUCAGUUGUGAAAGUUUGCGGCUCAACCGUAAAAUUGCAGUUGAUACUGGAUAUCUUGAGUGCAGUUGAGGCAGGCGGAAUUCGUGGUGUAGCGGUGAAAUGCUUAGAUAUCACGAAGAACUCCGAUUGCGAAGGCAGCCUGCUAAGCUGCAACUGACAUUGAGGCUCGAAAGUGUGGGNUAUUCCACCUGGGGAGUACGCCGGCAACGGUGAAACUCAAAGGAAUUGACGGGGGCCCGCACAAGCGGAGGAACAUGUGGUUUAAUUCGAUGAUACGCGAGGAACCUUACCCGGGCUUAAAUUGCAGAUGAAUUACGGUGAAAGCCGUAAGCCGCAAGGCAUCUGUGAAGGUGCUGCAUGGUUGUCGUCAGCUCGUGCCGUGAGGUGUCGGCUUAAGUGCCAUAACGAGCGCAACCCUUGUUGUCAGUUACUAACAGGAUUUGCUGAGGACUCUGACAAGACUGCCAUCGUAAGAUGUGAGGAAGGUGGGGAUGACGUCAAAUCAGCACGGCCCUUACGUCCGGGGCUACACACGUGUUACAAUGGGGGGUACAGAGGGCCGCUACCACGCGAGUGGAUGCCAAUCCCAAAAACCUCUCUCAGUUCGGACUGGAGUCUGCAACCCGACUCCACGAAGCUGGAUUCGCUAGUAAUCGCGCAUCAGCCACGGCGCGGUGAAUACGUUCCCGGGCCUUGUACACACCGCCCGUCAAGCCAUGGGAGCCGGGGGUACCUGAAGUGCGUAACCGCGAGGAGCGCCCUAGGGUAAAACUGGUGACUGGGGCUAAGUCGUAACAAGGUAGCCGUACCGGAAGGUGCGGCUGGAACACCUCCUUUCUGGAG